GCAGGUUAAACCUGCAGGGACGCGCUGCCGCGAGCGGCGCGGGAAGGCGGCGCUGGCGGCGGCCCCGGGACCCGCGGAAGCCGGCAUGCUGGAGAAAUUCGAGUUGGAAGAAGAAGCAGAAGACUCAGAAAGUGGCGUUUACAUGCGAUUCAUGAGGUCACACAAGUGUUACGACAUCGUUCCAACCAGCUCCAAGCUUGUUGUCUUUGAUACCACGUUGCAAGUUAAAAAGGCCUUCUUUGCCUUGGUAGCCAAUGGUGUUCGAGCAGCGCCUCUGUGGGAGAGUAAAAAACAAAGUUUUGUAGGAAUGCUAACAAUUACAGAUUUCAUUAAUAUACUGCAUAGAUACUAUAAAUCGCCCAUGGUACAGAUUUAUGAAUUAGAGGAACAUAAGAUUGAAACAUGGAGGGAGCUUUAUUUACAAGAAACAUUUAAGCCUUUAGUGAAUAUAUCUCCAGAUGCAAGGUAAACUUGUAAAGUUUUUCUCCUUUGAAAACAUUCAUUUGUUCAGAUUCAUCUGUUUUGUUACCAUGGUUUUGUUUUUUUGUUUUGUUUUUCCAAUCUAGAGACCAGCCUCCUUCACUGCAAAUAUUAAAUUCAGUAAACUUAGAGACCGUAAAUAUCACAGCCGUUGCUGAUCCGAAGGGUUGAUAACAGACUAGGAAGGUGGUCAUACUAAGCAGUUUUAAAAUCCAGGAUCACUUGCAGCAGAAACCAUUUAGGGAGCUUCUUAAACUGCAGAUUCCUACGCUCUGCUCCCAACCUAUUAAAUCAGUCUCUGGAGGCGCUUCGUGCCCAGGAAUGUGCAUUAAAACAACUCCCCCGAGGGGUUCUGACUUGCCCUGACGUUGCAAAAUCCGUCUCGUGAGGCCUUGGUCCAGGUGGGCAGAGCAGUGGGCUGCCUUUUGGUAGGGGGUCUGCUGGCGCAUGUAUUCUGACGGCACGGAUACGUUUCCACAGGUGUAUGAGAGCAUUCUUAAAGCUCUAGUGCACUUGUGAGAAAAAGCAGAAUAUUGAUUUUUAUUGUGUUCUUUCCAAGUCCUAAAAAACAGCCACACCGGCACACAGUCAUCACAGGAGAGGCCAGGGCAGCCAGAGUGGACUGGCCCAGGGAGGAGGCAGUGCAGAGGCCCCGCCACAGCGCCCCCUGUUGUCAGGGUCACCGCUAGCUCUCCUGGCUGGGGGUGCGCUUCUGUCAUUCUUCAGUAAAGGCAUUAAACCUGCUCCUAAAACACUGCUUUCCCAGAGGUUUGUCGCUCACACCUGGAUUUAAGGUUUUAUAUUAACACAGAUUGUGGAAAAUCAAAAAUUUUGCUGAGAUCUCCAGUUUAAAAUUUUUCCAGAACAGUUUUAGGUCAGUCAGUCAGCCUUUUAUGAUUGUAAUUUAAAGAAACUGAAAAUACGUUUUAAAGCAGGGGUGGUCCGAAGUUUCCUACUUCUUCUUUAAAGCCUCCUAACAACUUUAAUGGCUUUUCCCGCAGCCUCUUCGAUGCUGUACACUCGUUGAUCAAAAAUAAAAUCCACAGAUUGCCAGUUAUUGACCCCGUCAGUGGGAAUGCCCUUUAUAUACUUACCCACAAAAGAAUCCUCAAGUUCCUCCAGCUUUUUGUAAGUAGUUUUGAGUGUUUCUAAAGACAUAGUUGCAUCUACUUUAACUAAUUUACUCAAGUAAAUUGGCUCCUGUUAGCCUCAAAGAAGUUGUUAGUUUUGAGGUCUCCAUUUCUAAAGUUCAGUUUCUCAGCUUACGACUGUUUGAAUUACACAUUCUCAAAGUUGAUUCCAGUUAAAAAGCAGUCACCUUUCAGUACAAGUAUCAAAAUAAUAAGAACACUUGGCAUUCUCUGUUAGAAUUUUUAUCACCUCCAAUGAGGGAAAUAAAUCAGUUUUGCAAGUCAGCGUGAUUAAAGAACUGCUGUGCAAGACAACUUGAGCCAAACUGCCUAAUGAUGCUUUAUCGGUAUCAUGGUUUUGGAAACAUUCAAAAAGUCCUGUCCCCAGGAUCAUCUUAUUAACUACGGCAGUGAUAGAAAAACCCAAAGCAAAUAAAAUUUUGACAAAAGAAUACCAUGUUGGUCCAAAUUAGGGCUAUGUUGUCUCUAGGUUUUCUCAACUGCGUUUGAAAUGAGAUGGCUUCGUAAUUAUCCUGAACUUAGAACCUCUUUGGUCAGCCGUGUGAGAGAGGCCUGGAGAGACCAGAGUCUUUACAAGAGGGCUCCACUCUUUUCCCUGUGAUUCCAGGCACUGGAUUUGGCGGUGUAAGUGAUGAGUCACCUAGGCCCAGUAGGAGGCCUCGUUCAUGGUCCCGAGGAGCUCGCAGCAAGAGCUUUGUUUGUUUUUAAAGAAUUUAGUAGACAUUAAAAUCUACACCAGCUUAGCUUUCCUGUUUUUUCUGCACAGCUUCAAAUAAGAAAAUACAGUCGAGUUCUAGGAGCCCAGGGCCGCCUCCUGGGAGCUGCCUCACUCUUGCUGGACAGCAGUGCAAGUGUGUUCAGUGAUGGGGAGAAACGCCUUGUCCAUCAAGCCAGUCCUGUACCUUAAUAGUUACAUAACUAUUAAGUAAAUGCUGAGAAAUGUAUAAAAAUCUCAAAGUUUGGUAAAGAGAUACCUAGGGAGGAAGAAUUAAGGACCCCUGUGUCACGCAGCGGCUCUUGUCUGCCGCAGGCUGUGGCUGCAGUGGCCUUGCAACUGCACUUUAGCACGACCCAGGGUCUCUGCCCACGUACCCCUUAGAGUCCUCAUUUCGAAACAACAUUACUCAUGAGAGCUGAAGGCUCCUAGGCAGUCGCCACAGUGUGUCAGGCCCUUCACGUGAUGGACCUCGGUCCUCACCCCCACCCCCCCAGGUAGGUACUUUUAUUCAUCUGAUUUGCAAGUGAUGACACUCGGGAGGCGAGGUAACCGCCCGGGUCACUGCUGAUGGUGGAGCCUCUGACCCGGGGCAGCCCUCCCUCGGCAGCUCCGCCGGGGGAGUCGUGGGCCCCCUGCCCAGCGGCUCCAGGUCCAGCCCUUGCCGUGGCUGCGCGGCCCCGGGGGAGCCACGGCCUGAGACAGGCCUUCAGCGAGUCCUCUCUGGACGGAGAAGGGGAGGCGGCUGCCUCUGCCAGGACUGCCUGAUAUUUGGGCCAAUAUGGUAAUGAGAAUCAUGCCGUUAGAACAGGCUGCUAGGGGUGUUCAGGUGAAAAUAAUUUUAAAUAAAUUCCAGAACCUGAUUUUUACUGAACCAAGAUCAUUUUCUGAGAAAAAGUGUGUUGCCCGUGGAGCCAUGUGACAGUCAGCCUAAGUGUAGGGUAGGGAACAGGGGUGAUCCUGCAUCGAGAUGGGCUAGGUGACCUAAUAGGUCUUUCUUUUUUUUUUCUCUAAAUUUCUAGGAUUCUCAUGAUUUGAAUAUUGAUGAACUCUUUGACUUGAACAUUUUGUUUCUUCUAAUUGUUCAUCUUUUCCUGAUAAUUAUAAGGUACACCAGGAGGAUGGAAUCAACUGUACCCUUUAUAAAAGAUGUCUGACAUGCCAAAGCCUGCCUUCAUGAAGCAGAACCUGGACGCGCUGGGCAUCGGGACCUACGACAACAUCGCCUUCAUACACCCGGACACGCCAAUCAUCAGAGCCUUGAACGUCUUCGUGGAAAGGCGGGUGUCGGCCUUGCCCGUGGUGGACGAGUCAGGAAAAGUUGUAGAUAUUUAUUCCAAAUUUGAUGUAAUUAACCUUGCUGCUGAGAAAACAUACAACAACCUAGACAUCACGGUGACCCAGGCCCUUCAGCACCGGUCGCAGUAUUUCGAAGGCGUUGUCAAGUGCAGUAAGCUGGAGAUCCUGGAGACCAUCGUGGACAGGAUAGUGAGGGCCGAGGUCCAUCGGCUGGUGGUAGUAAAUGAAGCAGAUAGUAUCGUGGGUAUUAUUUCCCUGUCGGACAUUCUGCAAGCCCUGAUCCUCACCCCCGCAGGUGCCAAACAGAAAGAGACAGAAACCGAAUGACAGCCAUGAGUGCGGGAGCCUUCGCAGGAGAACUUGAACAAGAUCCUGGGUCACGCUUUGCCUCAUGAACACGGACCGCGAAAGAACAGAGGAAAACGGCUGAGAAUGUGUAUCCGGGUUUAGUGAUGGGUAUUUUUUCCAGUGAUGUUGAAACUAAGCAUAUAAAAGAGAAAGAUUUUAUGUGUCUGAAGAUUCAAGCUCACAUUAAAAGACUGUUUUCAGACCACGGUCUGAAAGAUCUCAAUGCUGUAUGUUAUUAAAGUGCACUGUGUCCUGAAUUUUUAUUGUUUUUCAUUUUAAAGAAUUCACUGGUAUCUAGCAGGUGAUAUGGCAUAAGGCAAGCGUGUGGCACAUUCAGAUCCAGUGCCUUAUGUCCAGCAGCGACAGGCCUUCCCUACCGCCUGUCGCAGCUUGUGAAGUGAUACUGCUGGAGUGGGAACGUCUCUGAACCUUUACCAAAUCAGUUUGUUUCAUUAGAUCUGUUGAACAGCUGUAAUUUGAAUAUGAAUACUUACUUUAUAAAACUUUAAUGAUGGUUUUAUGUUUAAGUGUUCCGUUCUGAACUACAGUGUAAAUGACUGAUCUACAACAGCUUUAUUUAUUUUUACUUUCGUGCAGUUUUUUUACACCUUUUGGUGGGUAAACUUCCCCAUGCCCAUUAAUAAAGCAUUGGUUUAUUAAUUUUAAAAGGGCAAAUUUCUCAUUAUUUAAGUUUGGACCUGGAAAGGAUAUGACUUCUCAAAGAGCCACUGUUAGGCUUUAAAAGCUGAAGUUUCUAACAGCACGAGUGAGAGCCUGCUCUGCAGGGCUGCAGACCAAGUGCCGGGAAGAUGUCUAUUUUUUCUUGUGUUUUUACAUGAAAAUCAUGAUGUUUGUGUGACUGCUGAUGCGAUUGUUUUGUAAAUUGUACUGUGGCAUAUACAGUAUUGUCAUACAGUUGAGGAGAAACACAAUGUUUCCUAAUGUAAGUGCUCUGAAAAUGUUGACACUGUAUAUAUAUAUAUGAGUAUAGUUUGGUUUUUUGUUUUUGGGGGUUUUUUGCAGAAUGAAAAAUUAAAAUAAAUCUUACUAUCGGCCAUCUUGUUAAAGAAAUUCUUUAAUAUUUGCUGCAAUACAGUGUAUUCUACAUGCAGUUUCCCACUGAGAUAUUUCUUCCCAAAUAAAGGAGAUGAAUUCUCA